GUGAGUUAUUAACUUGCAUCAGAUGCAUUUCUCAAGCUUUUUAUUUUUAAUUUUUAAAAUAUUUAUCUAUUUAUUUAUUCAUUUAUUUUUGGCUGUGUUGGGUCUUUGUUGCUGUAUACAGACUUUCUCUAGUUGCGAAACGGCAGAGGAGAAUACACAGACAGAAAGGAGGAGAAGGCCUUGUGAAGACAGAGGCAGAGACUGGAGUUAUGGAGCCACAAGCCAUGGAAUGCCUGGAGCUACCAGAAACUGCAAGAGGCAAGGAGAAUUCUCCCCCAGAGCCAUUAGAGGGAGCACAGUCCUGCCUACACCUUGAUUUCAGACUUCCAGCCUCUAGAACUGUGAAAGAAUAAAUUUUUGUUGUUUUGAGCAA